CGCGGGAGUAGCUCAGUUGGUUAGAGCGCCGGCCUGUCACGCCGGAGGUCGCGGGUUCGAGCCCCGUCUCUCGCGCCAU
rnacentral:tRNA from 1 species